rnacentral:snoRNA from 1 species
AAUCCAUGGUGAGGGCACUUUUGUAGCACUGAUCUGAAACACUCUCAUGCAUUGUAUAGUGUUUCACCUUCAAAUUGCUUGAAGUUGGCAAUAUCACGUCUAAGCU